GGGUUAGUAGGUUGGCCAUGCCUCUGGUAUGUACUGGUCUCACUGAUUCCUCCUUCCUGAUGAACCUUAAUGCCAUUAAUUUGGUGUUUUGGGGAAUUUGGACUGUUACUUUGAAGAAAUUAGAGUGAUCAAAGCAAGCCUACGCUCUGGAUACAUUAGCAUGGGAUAACAUUAUAGGAUUUCGGUCCUAUUACGUUGGCCUUCGGGAUCGGAGUA
rnacentral:rRNA from 1 species